rnacentral:tRNA from 1 species
ACGCCGUUAUGGCGAAUUGGAAAGACGUCUGACUGUAAAUUUGACGGUUGUAGGUUCGAUUCUCACAAGGAGAA